rnacentral:lncRNA from 1 species
CUCGAUUUAUCUAUUUAUUUUAGGGUUUAAAAACAAAUUUAAUAAAUCAUAAAAAAAGGAAAAACAAGGACGACAAAAAAAAAACAAGCUCGUCUUCUCCAUCGUGAAAAUCCCUUCAUCUUCUUCCUCCUCUUCUGAAUCCAUCAACAAAAAUGUAUAAAAUUUGUUGUUGCUCCAAUCCCAUCACUUAUUCCCUCGCCAGAGCUUUUGUUUCUCAGUUUUGGGUUUUCUAGGCAGUUUUACUCUCGAAAUUUUCUUUUUCUAUUUCUCCUUUUCUCUUUUGGAUUUUCCCAAUGUCAAAGACUUUUUAGCUGCAACUAUUUAACAUCUCAGAAUUAAGGUUCCAAUUUUUGUUAUCCUCGCCAUCCACAACACACAGGGAGGCAGAUUUUAAAAAUUGAUGUUCCUCUUUGAAUUUUAGAUCAAGGAUGGAGAAUAUUUCGAUGGUCAGAUCCAGUUCUUCGGCGAUAUUUAAAUCUAGGAAAUCAAUCAUUG